rnacentral:rRNA from 1 species
GACGAACGCUGGCGGCGUGCUUAACACAUGCAAGUCGAGCGGAAAGGCCCUUCGGGGUACUCGAGCGGCGAACGGGUGAGUAACACGUGAGUAACCUGCCCUUGGCUCUGGGAUAAGCCUAAGAAAUUGGGUCUAAUACCGGAUAUGACCUUUACCCGCAUGGGUUUCGGUGGAAAGUUUUUCGGCCAGGGAUGGACUCGCGGUCUAUCAGCUUGUUGGUGGGGUGAUGGCCUACCAAGGCGACGACGGAUAGCCGGCCUGAGAGGGUGACCGGCCACACUGGGACUGAGACACGGCCCAGACUCCUACGGGAGGCAGCAGUGGGGAAUAUUGCGCAAUGGGCGGAAGCCUGACGCAGCGACGCCGCGU